rnacentral:lncRNA from 1 species
GGCCAUAGUGGAAGAAGCUAGCUUGCGGUUUGAUUCUUAUGGAGAAGGCACAGGACAGGAAUCAUCCUUCUCCCUCUAUUUCCUCAUAUCGACUCAUUGGCAAGGUGAAGGCUCAGUCGGUAUGAUCCAAGGAAGACAACUUUGUGAGAUUCGAGGAGAAUCGCCUCUUCCCGAAGUAGUAGGAGAGGGAGUUGCUGAAG